rnacentral:rRNA from 1 species
GGCUCAGAUUGAACGCUGGCGGCGUGCUUAACACAUGCAAGUCGCGCGUGAAAGGACUUCGGUCCGAGUAAAGCGGCGCACGGGUGAGUAACGCGUGGAUGAUCUACCCAUGAGUUAGGAAUAACGGCUGGAAACGGUCGCUAAUACCAAAUACGCUCCGAUUUCAACUUCGGGGGAAAGGUGGCCUCUGCUUGCAAGCUACUGCUCAUGGAUGAGUCCGCGUCCCAUUAGCUAGUUGGUGGGGUAACGGCCCACCAAGGCGACGAUGGGUAGCCGGUCUGAGAGGAUGACCGGCCACACUGGGACUGGAACACGGCCCAGACUCCUACGGGAGGCAGCAGUGGGGAAUAUUGCGCAAUGGGCGAAAGCCUGACGCAGCGACGCCGCGUGAGGGAUGAAGGUCCUCGGAUCGUAAACCUCUGUCAGGAGGGAAGAACCGCCGCGGUGCUAAUCAGCCGUGGUCUGACGGUACCUCCAAAGGAAGCACCGGCUAACUCCGUGCCAGCCGCAGC